CAGGUAGAUGAGGAGAGAAUCCUAAGGUGACCGAGAGAACCCUUGUGAAGGAAUUCGGCAUAAUUUCUCCGUAACUUCGGAAGAAAGAGAGCCCCUUAGUAUGUGAGAGGACACGCUCCUCGAGCAGAAUGGGGCCGCAGAGAAUCGGCCUGGGCGACUGUUUACUAAAAACACAGGUCUCUGCUAAACCGUAAGGUGAUGUAUAGGGACUGACACCUGCCCGGUGCUGGAAGGUUAAAAGGAGGGGUCAGCCAAAUUCGUUUGGUGAAGCUCCGAAUUGAAGCCCCAGUAAACGGCGGCCGUAACUAUAACGGUCCUAAGGUAGCGAAAUUCCUCGUCGGGUAAAUUCCGACCUGCACGAAUGGUGUAACGACUUGGGCGCUGUCUCCACAAGGCUCUCGGCGAAAUUGUAGUUCCGGUGAAGAUGCCGGAUACCCGCGGUAGGACGGAAAGACCCCGUGAACCUUUACUGUAGCCUGACAUUGGGUUUUGGUAUGUCAUGUAGAGCAUAGGUGGGAGGCGUUGAAAUGGGAGCGCCAGCUCUCAUGGAGCCAACAAUGGAAUACCACCCUUGGUAUAUCGAAAUUCUAACCAUGUACCGUGAAUCCGGUACUGGAACAUUGUCUGGUGGGCAGUUUGACUGGGGCGGUCACCUCCAAAACGGUAACGGAGGUGCCCAAAGGUUCCCUCAGUGUGGUCGGCAAUCACACGUAGAGUGUAAAGGCACAAGGGAGCUUGACUGCGAGGCCCACAAGUCGAGCAGAUGCGAAAGCAGGGCUUAGUGAUCUGACAGUAGCGCGUGGAAGCGCUGAAACUCAACGGAUAAAAGGUACUCCGGGGAUAACAGGCUUAUCUCCCCCAAGCGUCCAUAGCGACGGGGAGGUUUGGCACCUUGAUGUCGGCUCAUCGCAUCCUGGGGCUGGAGAAGGUCCCAAGGGUUUGGCUGCUCGCCAAUUAAAGCGGUACGCGAGCUGGGUUUAGAACGUCGUGAGACAGUUCGGUCUCUAUCCACCGUGGGCGUUAGGAGAUUUGAGAGAAGCUGUCCCUAGUAUGAGAAGACCGGGAUGGACGAACCUCUUGUGUACCAGUUGUUCCGCCAGGGGCAUUGCUGGGUAGCGAAGUUCGGUCGGGAUAACCGCUGAAAGCAUCUAAGUGGGAAGCCCUACUCAAGACGAGAUCUCCCUAUCAGGACCCAAGUAGACUACUUGGUCGAUAGGCCGCAGGUGUAAAUGCAGUGAUGCAUUCAGCCGAGCGGUACUAAUAGUCCGAUCGACUUGGCCGA
rnacentral:rRNA from 1 species